UGCGAGUCGAGCGGUAAGGCCUUUCGGGGUACACGAGCGGCGAACGGGUGAGUAACGCGUGGGUGAUCUGCCCUGCACUCUGGGAUAAGCCCGGGAAACUGGGUCUAAUACCGGAUAUGACCGCAUGCUGCAUGGUGUGUGGUGGAAAGAUUUAUCGGUGCAGGAUGGGCCCGCGGCCUAUCAGCUUGUUGGUGGGGUAAUGGCCUACCAAGGCGACGACGGGUAGCCGACCUGAGAGGGUGACCGGCCACACUGGGACUGAGACACGGCCCAGACUCCUACGGGAGGCAGCAGUGGGGAAUAUUGCACAAUGGGCGGAAGCCUGAUGCAGCGACGCCGCGUGAGGGAUGAAGGCCUUCGGGUUGUAAACCUCUUUCAGCAGGGACGAAGCGUGAGUGACGGUACCUGCAGAAGAAGCACCGGCUAACUACGUGCCAGCAGCCGCGGUAAUACGUAGGGUGCGAGCGUUGUCCGGAAUUACUGGGCGUAAAGAGUUCGUAGGCGGUUUGUCGCGUCGUUUGUGAAAACCCGGGGCUCAACUUCGGGCUUGCAGGCGAUACGGGCAGACUUGAGUGUUUCAGGGGAGACUGGAAUUCCUGGUGUAGCGGUGAAAUGCGCAGAUAUCAGGAGGAACACCGGUGGCGAAGGCGGGUCUCUGGGAAACAACUGACGCUGAGGAACGAAAGCGUGGGUAGCAAACAGGAUUAGAUACCCUGGUAGUCCACGCCGUAAACGGUGGGCGCU
rnacentral:rRNA from 1 species